rnacentral:rRNA from 1 species
GACGAACGCUGGCGGCGUGCUUAACACAUGCAAGUCGAACGGAAAGGCCCUGCUUUUGUGGGGUGCUCGAGUGGCGAACGGGUGAGUAACACGUGAGUAACCUGCCCUUGACUUUGGGAUAACUUCAGGAAACUGGGGCUAAUACCGGAUAGGAGCUCCUGCUGCAUGGUGGGGGUUGGAAAGUUUCGGCGGUUGGGGAUGGACUCGCGGCUUAUCAGCUUGUUGGUGGGGUAGUGGCUUACCAAGGCUUUGACGGGUAGCCGGCCUGAGAGGGUGACCGGCCACAUUGGGACUGGGAUACGGCCCAGACUCCUACGGGAGGCAGCAGUGGGGAAUAGUGCACAAUGGGCGGAAGCCGGAUGCAGCAACGCCGCGUGCGGGAUGACGGCCUUCGGGUUGUAAACCGCUUUCGCCUGUGACGAAGCGUGAGUGACGGUAAUGGGGAAAGAAGCACCGGCUAACUACGU